rnacentral:rRNA from 1 species
AGAGUUUGAUCCUGGCUCAGAACGAACGCUGGCGGCAGGCUUAACACAUGCAAGUCGAACGCGCUUUUCGGAGCGAGUGGCGCACGGGUGAGUAACGCGUGGGAACCUGUCCUUGAGUGGGGAAUAACCUUGGGAAACUGAGGCUAAUACCGCAUACUCCCUUUGGUUGUAGUGGCCGAAGGGGAAAGAUUUAUCGCUCAAGGAGGGGCUCGCGUCAGAUUAGGUUGUUGGUGGGGUAAAGGCCUACCAAGCCUGCGAUCUGUAGCCGGUCUGAGAGGAUGGUCGGCCACACUGGAACUGAGACACGGUCCAGACUCCUACGGGAGGCAGCAGCUAAGAAUCUUCCGCAAUGGACGAAAGUCUGACGGAGCGACGCCGCGUGGGUGAUGAAGGCCGUGAGGUUGUAAAGCCCUUUUCUGCCUGAGGAAUAAGGUUUGGAGGAAAUGCCAAACUGAUGACGGUAGGGCAGGAAUAAGCCCCGGCUAAUUACGUGCCAGCAGCCGCGGUAACACGUAUGGGGCGAGCGUUGUUCGGAAUUAUUGGGCGUAAAGAGCGCGUAGGCGGAUAUAUAUGUCCGGUGUGAAAUAUUACAGCUUCACUGUAAUGCUGCGCUGGAAACGAUAUGUCUUGAGUACUUGAGGGGGAACUGGAAUUCCUGGUGUAAGGGUGAAAUCUGUAGAUAUCAGGAAGAACACCAGAGGCGAAGGCGAGUUCCUGGCAAGAGACUGACGCUGAUGCGCGAAAGCGUGGGUAGCAAACAGGAUUAGAUACCCUGGUAGUCCACGCUGUAAACGAUGUGUGCCAGCCUUGGGGAGAUGUAAUCUUUCUGGGGCGCAGCUAACGCGUUAAGCACACCGCCUGGGGAGUACGG